rnacentral:rRNA from 2 species
CUCACCUUCUAAAGAACCGUAAUGCCAUUAAUUUGGUGUCACGGGGAAUUAGGACUGUUACCUUGAAAAAAUUAGAGUGUUUAAAGCAGGCUCACGCUUGAAUACAUUAGCAUGGAAUAAUGAAAUAGGAUAUCCGAUUCUAUUUUGUUGGUUUCUAGGAUCGAUGUAAUGAUUAAUAGGGACAGUCGGGGGCAUCAGUAUUCAAUUGUCAGGGGUGAAAUUCUUGGAUUUAUUGAAGACUAACUACUGCGAAAGCAUUUGCCAAGGAUGUUUUCAUUAAUCAGGAACGAAAGUUAGGGGAUCGAAGACGAUCAGAUACCGUCGUAGUCUUAACCAUAAACUAUGCCGACUAGGGAUCGGACGGUGUUAUUUUUUGACCCGUUCGGCGCCUUACGGGAAAC